UAGAGAACAUCGCCCUCGCGGGUGACUCUCCAGCCCUAUGUUAUUAAACCUUUGUUGCUUUGGCGAGCCGCCUCGGCCACCGGCUUCCGCUGGUGAGUGCUCGCCAGAGGACCCCAAACCCUGUUUAUUAGUGUCGUCUGAGUACUAUAUAAAUAGUUA
rnacentral:misc_RNA from 1 species